rnacentral:rRNA from 1 species
AGAGUUUGAUCCUGGCUCAGAGCGAACGCUGGCGGCGUGCCUAACACAUGCAAGUCGAACGUGAAUGGGAGCAAUCCCUAGUAAAGUGGCGUACGGGUGAGUAACACGUAGGUAAUCUACCCUAAAGUUUGGAAUAACCUGCCGAAAGGCGGGCUAAUACUGGAUAGAGCGACGGAAUCCGUAAUUGGGUUUUUCGGGAAAGGGAGGUCGUAAGACCCCUCGCUUUAGGAUGAGCCUGCGUCCCAUUAGCUAGUUGGUAGGGUAACGGCCUACCAAGGCAAUGAUGGGUAGCUGGUCUGAGAGGAUGAUCAGCCACACUGGAACUGAAACACGGUCCAGACUCCUACGGGAGGCAGCAGUGGGGAAUCUUGCGCAAUGGACGAAAGUCUGACGCAGCCACGCCGCGUGAGUGAAGAAGGCCUUCGGGUUGUAAAGCUCUGUCGUUCGGGACGAAAAGGUUUAGAGUGAAUAGCUCUAGAUCCUGACGGUACCGAAAAAGGAAGCACCGGCUAACUCCGUGCCAGCAGCCGCGGUAAUACGGAGGGUGCAAGCGUUGCUCGGAAUUAUUGGGCGUAAAGGGUAGGUAGGUGGUCUCAUUUGUCUGGGGUGAAAGCCUUGAGCUUAACUCAAGAAGUGCCCCAGAAACGGUGAGACUAGAGUUCUGGAGAGGGUCGUGGAAUUCCCGGUGUAGCGGUGAAAUGCGUAGAGAUCGGGAGGAACACCAGAGGCGAAGGCGGCGACCUGGACAGCAACUGACACUCAACUACGAAAGCGUGGGGAGCAAACAGGAUUAGAUACCCUAGUAGUCC